rnacentral:lncRNA from 1 species
CAUGAAGGAUACGUGAAGACGCUGCGUCACCGCUCCCGGAGUGAGGAUCUCCUUCUGUCUCCUCCUUCGAUCCGUCCGUCCCAACUUCCAUCUGGAAGAAAGCUAACAACAGAAGUUUGCAGCUGGCUGGCAAAGACCGACUCCCUCUCUCCAUCCACCCCCCACCUCGUCACCCCUCUUUCCCGUCCAUCUAUCCAUCCCAUUCCCUCUACUGGGUGCACAACAAUGGUGUGAAACAUCUGCAGCUACCAGGUAAUUAUGGCUGAGCCAAAACAGUGGGCAGUGCCAUGCCGACGAGCUACGACACCCCGCAAUUAGCCCUGCAUCUCCAUCUCCCCCCUCGCUCCGUCGCUCCC